UGGGGAAUAUUGGACAAUGGGCGCAAGCCUGAUCCAGCCAUGCCGCGUGAGUGAAGAAGGCCUUCGGGUUGUAAAGCUCUUUUGUCCGGAAAGAAAUCCUGUCGGCUAAUACCCGGCGGGGAUGACGGUACCGGAAGAAUAAGCACCGGCUAACUUCGUGCCAGCAGCCGCGGUAAUACGAAGGGUGCAAGCGUUACUCGGAAUUACUGGGCGUAAAGCGUGCGUAGGUGGUUCGUUAAGUCUGAUGUGAAAGCCCUGGGCUCAACCUGGGAACUGCAUUGGAUACUGGCGAUCUGGAGUGCGGUAGAGGGUGGCGGAAUUCCCGGUGUAGCAGUGAAAUGCGUAGAUAUCGGGAGGAACAUCCGUGGCGAAGGCGGCCACCUGGACCAGCACUGACACUGAGGCACGAAAGCGUGGGGAGCAAACAGGAUUAGAUACCCUGGUAGUCCACGCCCUAAACGAUGCGAACUGGAUGUUGGGUGCAACUUGGCACUCAGUAUCGAAGCUAACGCGUUAAGUUCGCCGCCUGGGAAGUACGGUCGCAAGACUGAAACUCAAAUGAAUUGACGGGGUCAUAGCUGUUUCC
rnacentral:rRNA from 1 species